GUAACAAGGUUUCCGUAGGUGAACCUGCGGAAGGAUCAUUACAGAGUUCAUGCCCUCACGGGUAGAUCUCCCACCCUUGAAUAUUAUACCUUCGUUGCUUUGGCAGGCCGUGGAAACACCAUGGGCUCCGGCUGAUGCGUGCCUGCCAGAGGAAACAAAACUCUGUUUUUAGUGAUGUCUGAGUACUAUAUAAUAGUUAAAACUUUCAACAACGGAUCUCUUGGUUCUGGCAUCGAUGAAGAACGCAGCGAAAUGCGAUAAGUAAUGUGAAUUGCAGAAUUCAGUGAAUCAUCGAAUCUUUGAACGCACAUUGCGCCCCGUGGUAUUCCGCGGGGCAUGCCUGUUCGAGCGUCAUUUCAACCCAUCACGCUUCGGCGUGGUCUUGGGGCCUGCGGUUUCGCAGCCUCUAAACGCAGUGGCGGUGCUAUUGAGCUCUGAGCGUAGUAAUUUCUCUCGCUAUAGAGUCUCGGUGGUGACUUGCCAACAACCCCCAAUUUUUAUCAGGUUGACCUCGGAUCAGGUAGGGAUACCCGCUGAACUUAA
rnacentral:rRNA from 1 species